GAGCCCAUAGUUCAAUGGAUAGAACACUAGCCUUCUAAGCUUGAUAUCCAGGUUCGAUUCCUGGUGGGCUCA
rnacentral:tRNA from 1 species